GACGAACGCUGGCGGCGUGCCUAAUACAUGCAAGUAGAACGCUGAAGGAGGAGCUUGCUUCUCUGGAUGAGUUGCGAACGGGUGAGUAACGCGUAGGUAACCUGCCUGGUAGCGGGGGAUAACUAUUGGAAACGAUAGCUAAUACCGCAUAAUAGUAGAUGUUGCAUGACAUUUGCUUAAAAGGUGCAAUUGCAUCACUACCAGAUGGACCUGCGUUGUAUUAGCUAGUUGGUGGGGUAACGGCUCACCAAGGCGACGAUACAUAGCCGACCUGAGAGGGUGAUCGGCCACACUGGGACUGAGACACAGCCCAGACUCCUACGGGAGGCAGCAGUAGGGAAUCUUCGGCAAUGGACGGAAGUCUGACCGAGCAACGCCGCGUGAGUGAAGAAGGUUUUCGGAUCGUAAAGCUCUGUUGUAAGAGAAGAACGAGUGUGAGAGUGGAAAGUUCACACUGUGACGGUAUCUGACCAGAAAGGGACGGCUAACUACGUG
rnacentral:rRNA from 1 species